GAUGAAGAACGUAGCGAAAUGCGAUAAGUAAUGCGAAUUGCAGAAUUUCCGUGAGUCAUCGAAUCUUUGAACGCACAUUGCGCCCCCUGGUAUUCCGGGGGGCAUGCCUGUCCGAGCGUCAUUACAACCCUCAAGCUCAGCUUGGUAUUGGGCCCCGCCGCUCCGGCGGGCCCUAAAGUCAGUGGCGGUGCCGUCCGGCUCCGAGCGUAGUAAUUCUUCUCGCUCUGGAGGUCCGGUCGUGUGCUCGCCAGCAACCCCCAAUUUUUUUCAGGUUGACCUCGGAUCAGGUAGGGAUACCCGCUGAACUUAAGCAUAUCAAUAAGCGGAGGA
rnacentral:misc_RNA from 1 species